rnacentral:misc_RNA from 1 species
GAUGAAGAACGCAGCGAAAUGCGAUAAGUAAUGUGAAUUGCAGAAUUCAGUGAAUCAUCGAAUCUUUGAACGCACAUUGCGCCCGCCAGUAUUCUGGCGGGCAUGCCUGUUCAAGCGUCAUUACAACCCUCAGGCCCCCGGGCCUGGCGUUGGGGAUCGGCGGAGCCCCCCGUGGGCACACGCCGUCCCCCAAAUACAGUGGCGGUCCCGCCGCAGCUUCCAUCGCGUAGUAGCUAACACCUCGCGACUGGAGAGCGGCGCGGCCACGCCGUAAAACACCCAACUCUUCUGAAGUUGACCUCGAAUCAGGUAGGAAUACCCGCUGAACUUAAGCAUAUCAAUAAGCGGAGGA